rnacentral:rRNA from 1 species
UGAAGAGUUUGAUCAUGGCUCAGAUUGAACGCUGGCGGCAGGCCUAACACAUGCAAGUCGAGCGGAAACGAUCCUAGCUUGCUAGGAGGCGUCGAGCGGCGGACGGGUGAGUAAUGCAUAGGAAUCUGCCCGGUAGUGGGGGAUAACCUGGGGAAACCCAGGCUAAUACCGCAUACGCCCUACGGGGGAAAGCAGGGGAUCUUCGGACCUUGCGCUAUCGGAUGAGCCUAUGUCGGAUUAGCUAGUUGGUGAGGUAACGGCUCACCAAGGCUGCGAUCCGUAGCUGGUCUGAGAGGAUGAUCAGCCACAUCGGGACUGAGACACGGCCCGAACUCCUACGGGAGGCAGCAGUGGGGAAUAUUGGACAAUGGGCGAAAGCCUGAUCCAGCCAUGCCGCGUGUGUGAAGAAGGCCUUCGGGUUGUAAAGCACUUUCAGUGAGGAAGAAAGCCUUGAGGUUAAUACCCUCGAGGGAGGACAUCACUCACAGAAGAAGCACCGGCUAACUCCGUGCCAGCAGCCGCGGUAAUACGGAGGGUGCGAGCGUUAAUCGGAAUUACUGGGCGUAAAGCGCGCGUAGGCGGCUUGAUAAGCCGGUUGUGAAAGCCCCGGGCUCAACCUGGGAACGGCAUCCGGAACUGUCAGGCUAGAGUGCAGGAGAGGAAGGUAGAAUUCCCGGUGUAGCGGUGAAAUGCGUAGAGAUCGGGAGGAAUACCAGUGGCGAAGGCGGCCUUCUGGACUGACACUGACGCUGAGGUGCGAAAGCGUGGGUAGCAAACAGGAUUAGAUACCCUGGUAGUCCACGCCGUAAACGAUGUCGACUAGCCGUUGGGCUCCUUGAGAGCUUUGUGGCGCAGUUAACGCGAUAAGUCGACCGCCUGGGGAGUACGGCCGCAAGGUUAAAACUCAAAUGAAUUGACGGGGGCCCGCACAAGCGGUGGAGCAUGUGGUUUAAUUCGAUGAUACGCGAGGAACCUUACCAGGGCUUAAAUGUAAGUUGCAUUAGUUAGAGAUAGCUAUUUCUUCGGACCACUUACAAGGUGCUGCAUGGUUGUCGUCAGCUCGUGCCGUGAGGUGUCAGGUUAAGUCCUAUAACGAGCGCAACCCCUGUUGUUAGUUGCCAGCGAGUCAUGUCGGGAACUCUAACAAGACUGCCAGUGCAAACUGUGAGGAAGGUGGGGAUGACGUCAAAUCAUCACGGCCCUUACGUCCUGGGCUACACACGUGCUACAAUGGAACGCACAGAGGGCAGCAAACCCGCGAGGGGGAGCGAAUCCCACAAAACGUUUCGUAGUCCGGAUCGGAGUCUGCAACUCGACUCCGUGAAGUCGGAAUCGCUAGUAAUCGUGAAUCAGAAUGUCACGGUGAAUACGUUCCCGGGCCUUGUACACACCGCCCGUCACACCAUGGGAGUGGACUGCACCAGAAGUGGUUAGCCUAACUUCGGAGGGCGAUCACCACGGUGUGGUUCAUGACUGGGGUGAAGUCGUAACAAGGUAGCCGUAGGGGAACCUGCGGCUGGAUCACCUCCUU